AUUUUAUUAAUAUAAAAUAGUAUAUUUGAUUUCCAAUCAAAAAGUUUAAAAAUUAAAUAAAAUA
rnacentral:tRNA from 1 species